rnacentral:lncRNA from 1 species
AUUAGGUUUUGUCAUCAUUUGACAAAAGUAGGUAUUUAUAUAAAUUAACAGCGAGCAUCAUACCCAUAUGUAAAUCAGAGGCUUGGUUUCCUUCGGUUGCAGACAUAUGCAUGGAAUUUUGGGUCGCGUCAUCCUGUUGCGGAAUAUAUGGAAUGCAACGAUUCCAACCAGUCUCUCCACGUGGGAAGAAUAGUGGAUAUGACAAUGGGUCGUAGCACCCAUAGUAUGCUCUAAUAUAUAG